rnacentral:rRNA from 1 species
CGCUUAACACAUGCAAGUCGAGCGAGAAAGGGAGCAAUCCUGAGUAAAGCGGCGUCCGGGUGAGUAACACGUGGAUCAUAUGCCUUUUUGUGGGGGAUACCCUUGGGAAACCGAGGACAAUACCGCAUAAGCCCGAGAGGGGAAAGCAGCAAUGCGCAGAAAGAGUAGUCCGCGGCUGAUUAGCUAGUUGGUAAGGUAAUCGCUUACCAAGGCUUUGAUCGGUAGCCGGCCUGAGAGGGCACACGGCCACACUGGCACUGAAACACGGGCCAGACUCCUACGGGAGGCAGCAGUGGGGAAUCUUGCAAAAUGGACGAAAGUCUGAUGCAGCGACGCCGCGUGAGCGAUGAAGCCCUUCGGGGUGUAAAGCUC